AUAGCUCGAUUGAUUACUUUGCUGGAGUUACAUAUGCAUAUAGUGUAAUGCUAUAAGAUGAGAUCAACUCACAAAGUUAUCAGGUUAAAUAGCUUUAUCAACUAAUAAAAAUGUUAUUGCAUAACUCAUGUUAUACUGUAACCCCGCCACGAUAUCCAGCGAAAAUUAUUUUGCUGAGUAUCGUAGUAAAAGUUAAGAUAUGAUAUUAAGAACUUUUGUGAGUUGUGCAACAACAUUAACAGCAAACUAUAAUACAAAUCUAUCUUUUUAAAAGUUUGUAUUGCUAGCUUGGUGGUUAUAGCAUGAGUGAA
rnacentral:misc_RNA from 1 species